rnacentral:rRNA from 1 species
CACGAAAGGUGCAAGGAAAUGUUUUAGGUUUGUAGUUAAUUAUUCGUGAUUUGGUAAAACUUGUAAUUUGUUAGGUGAAAUUUUAAAUUAUGGCUAAUUCCAAAAUUUUGAUUCAAUGAAGCUGUGAAAAUUAGAAAUAAAACUAGGAUUAGAUACCCUACUAUUCUAAUUGUUGAAGAAGGGCCUGAGUAGUAAUAGUUAAGUUCUUGAAACUCAAAGAAUUUGGCGGUGUUUUAUACCACCCAGAGGAACCUGUCCCGUAAUCGAUAAUCCACGUUAAAUUAACUUGGUUUAGUAUUCAGCUUGUAUACCGCCGUCGUAAGAGUAUGUUAGGAAGCAGUAUUCAAUAUUUUGAAUGAAAUAAUAUGUCAGGUCAAGGUGCAGCUUAUAACCAAGGGGAGAUGGGUUACAAUGGAAAGAUUUAAACGAAUUAGAACUUGAAAGAGAACUUUGAAGGUGGAUUUGGGGGUAAUGAAUUUAAAAUUGAAUUUUUGAUGAUGGCUCUAAAACAUGCACACAUCGCCCGUCGCUCUCGUUUGUUAAGGCGAG